rnacentral:rRNA from 1 species
AUUGAACGCUGGCGGCAGGCUUAACACAUGCAAGUCGAGCGGAGAUGAGGUGCUUGCACCUUAUCUUAGCGGCGGACGGGUGAGUAAUGCUUAGGAAUCUGCCUAUUAGUGGGGGACAACAUUCCGAAAGGAAUGCUAAUACCGCAUACGUCCUACGGGAGAAAGCAGGGGAUCUUCGGACCUUGCGCUAAUAGAUGAGCCUAAGUCGGAUUAGCUAGUUGGUGGGGUAAAGGCCUACCAAGGCGACGAUCUGUAGCGGGUCUGAGAGGAUGUUCCGCCACACUGGGACUGAGACACGGCCCAGACUCCUACGGGAGGCAGCAGUGGGGAAUAUUGGACAAUGGGGGGAACCCUGAUCCAGCCAUGCCGCGUGUGUGAAGAAGGCCUUAUGGUUGUAAAGCACUUUAAGCGAGGAGGAGGCUACCUGGAUUAAUACUCUAGGAUAGUGGACGUUACUCGCAGAAUAAGCACCGGCUAACUCUGUGCCAGCCGCCGCAGUAACAC